UCCACGAAUCAAGGAGAACUGAAAUUAAUUUUCAUACUGCUGAAUCAACCAAAGUCUACAAUGGUAUCCUUUUCCCGGACUUGAUUCCUGAUUAGCUGUUGACAUCCUCAUCUUGCAACAUCAUGCAGUUGAUUUUCGACUGAUGAUUGAGAGCAACUGGAAUAUUUGGACCCCACUGAGACAACAUCCUAUGGCAUACACUUCAGAAUGUCACAUUGUGCAGUUAACUAAGGAAUAUUAUACAAACUAUGGAUAUCAUGCAUUAUGGAGCAUUCGUCAUAUCAGUCAUUUUUCACUCCAGGAUGUAGCGGUAGUCGAAGGAUAUAAGAAGGUGCCUUUUUUCCCAUUGGAGGCAGAGGAAGUGUACUGUUGUUGCUAAAGGAAGGAUACGUGAUAAUGAAUUGAUUGAACAACAAACGAUGCUAUUGAGGCAACCAAUUACAAUAGUACAAUUAUCCUGGACUUGAUCCUUGAUCUGCUGUUGACGGUUUCGCCUUGCGUCGAUGAAUGAGAGCAACUGGGAAUUUACUUGGGCCCCACUGUUUUCCCGGAUUUGGAUUGCUUUCAAUACUAGUCCAAUGGAACGUAACAUUCUGCAAUUAACUAAGGUCGACGGGGGAGAAGAUAAAGAAGAUCCCGUAGUUAGAAUACUUCUCUAUUUUGCACGCAUAUUUAAGUUCGUUUUUUCCAAAUAAUUUUUUAUUUUGCAUGUCAUUUGUAGAUUAUUUUUUUUAAUUC